GAUAGCUUGCUAUCAAUGCUGACGAGCGGCGGACGGGUGAGUAAUGCCUGGGAAUAUGCCCUGAUGUGGGGGAUAACUAUUGGAAACGAUAGCUAAUACCGCAUAAUCUCUUCGGAGCAAAGAGGGGGACCUUCGGGCCUCUCGCGUCAGGAUUAGCCCAGGUGGGAUUAGCUUGUUGGUGGGGUAAUGGCUCACCAAGGCAACGAUCCCUAGCUGGUCUGAGAGGAUGAUCAGCCACACUGGAACUGAGACACGGUCCAGACUCCUACGGGAGGCAGCAGUGGGGAAUAUUGCACAAUGGGGGAAACCCUGAUGCAGCCAUGCCGCGUGUAUGAAGAAGGCCUUCGGGUUGUAAAGUACUUUCAGUUGUGAGGAAGGCGUUGAUGUUAAUAGCUUCAGCGUUUGACGUUAGCAACAGAAGAAGCACCGGCUAACUCCGUGCCAGCAGCCGCGGUAAUACGGAGGGUGCGAGCGUUAAUCGGAAUUACUGGGCGUAAAGCGCAUGCAGGUGGUCUGUUAAGCAAGAUGUGAAAGCCCGGGGCUCAACCUCGGAACAGCAUUUUGAACUGGCAGACUAGAGUACUGUAGAGGGGGGUAGAAUUUC
rnacentral:rRNA from 2 species